CCUACGGGAGGCAGCAGUGGGGAAUAUUGCACAAUGGGCGCAAGCCUGAUGCAGCGACGCCGCGUGCGGGAUGGAGGCCUUCGGGUUGUAAACCGCUUUUGUUCAAGGGCAAGGCACGGUUUCGGCCGUGUUGAGUGGAUUGUUCGAAUAAGCACCGGCUAACUACGUGCCAGCAGCCGCGGUAAU
rnacentral:rRNA from 1 species